rnacentral:rRNA from 1 species
CUCAGGAUGAACGCUGGCGGCGUGCCUAACACAUGCAAGUCGAGCGAUUCUCUUCGGAGAAGAGCGGCGGACGGGUGAGUAACGCGUGGGUAACCUGCCCUGUACACACGGAUAACAUACCGAAAGGUAUGCUAAUACGAGAUAAUAUGCUUUUAUCGCAUGGUAGAAGUAUCAAAGCUCCGGCGGUACAGGAUGGACCCGCGUCUGAUUAGCUAGUUGGUAAGGUAACGGCUUACCAAGGCGACGAUCAGUAGCCGACCUGAGAGGGUGAUCGGCCACAUUGGAACUGAGACACGGUCCAAACUCCUACGGGAGGCAGCAGUGGGGAAUAUUGCACAAUGGGCGAAAGCCUGAUGCAUCAACGCCGCGUGAGCGAUGAAGGCCUUCGGGUCGUAAAGCUCUGUCCUCAAGGAAGAUAAUGACGGUACUUGAGGAGGAAGCCCCGGCUAACUACGUG